rnacentral:rRNA from 1 species
AACGCUAGCUACAGGCUUAACACAUGCAAGUCGAGGGGUAGCAGGGUAGCAAUACCGCUGACGACCGGCGCACGGGUGAGUAACACGUAUCCAACCUUCCCAUCACUCGGGGAUAGCCUUUCGAAAGAAAGAUUAAUACCCGAUAGUACUUUUUUGAGGCAUCUUGAGAAAGUUAAAGAUUUAUUGGUGAUGGAUGGGGAUGCGUCUGAUUAGCUUGUUGGCGGGGUAAUGGCCCACCAAGGCAACGAUCAGUAGGGGUUCUGAGAGGAAGGUCCCCCACAUUGGAACUGAGACACGGUCCAAACUCCUACGGGAGGCAGCAGUGAGGAAUAUUGGUCAAUGGACGAGAGUCUGAACCAGCCAAGUAGCGUGCAGGAUGACGGCCCUAUGGGUUGUAAACUGCUUUUAUAAGGGAAUAAAGUGAGUCUCGUGAGACUUUUUGCAUGUACCUUAUGAAUAAGGACCGGCUAAUUCCGUGCCAGCAGCCGCGGUAAUACGGAAGGUCCGGGCGUUAUCCGGAUUUAUUGGGUUUAAAGGGAGCGUAGGCCGGAGAUUAAGCGUGUUGUGAAAUGUAGACGCUCAACGUCUGCACUGCAGCGCGAACUGGUUUCCUUGAGUACGCACAAAGUGGGCGGAAUUCGUGGUGUAGCGGUGAAAUGCUUAGAUAUCACGAAGAACUCCGAUUG